UGCAGUCGAGCGGAUGGAUUAAGAGCUUGCUCUUAUGAAGUUAGCGGCGGACGGGUGAGUAACACGUGGGUAACCUGCCCAUAAGACUGGGAUAACUCCGGGAAACCGGGGCUAAUACCGGAUAACAUUUUGAACCGCAUGGUUCGAAAUUGAAAGGCGGCUUCGGCUGUCACUUAUGGAUGGACCCGCGUCGCAUUAGCUAGUUGGUGAGGUAACGGCUCACCAAGGCAACGAUGCGUAGCCGACCUGAGAGGGUGAUCGGCCACACUGGGACUGAGACACGGCCCAGACUCCUACGGGAGGCAGCAGUAGGGAAUCUUCCGCAAUGGACGAAAGUCUGACGGAGCAACGCCGCGUGAGUGAUGAAGGCUUUCGGGUCGUAAAACUCUGUUGUUAGGGAAGAACAAGUGCUAGUUGAAUAAGCUGGCACCUUGACGGUACCUAACCAGAAAGCCACGGCUAACUACGUGCCAGCAGCCGCGGUAAUACGUAGGUGGCAAGCGUUAUCCGGAAUUAUUGGGCGUAAAGCGCGCGCAGGUGGUUUCUUAAGUCUGAUGUGAAAGCCCACGGCUCAACCGUGGAGGGUCAUUGGAAACUGGGAGACUUGAGUGCAGAAGAGGAAAGUGGAAUUCCAUGUGUAGCGU
rnacentral:rRNA from 1 species